ACUCUCCUACCAAAACAAACCAUAGUUAUUUUCUGAUUGUUUCCCAGUUGUUUUUAAAGGUAUCAUGGGGGGAAAAAAGGUUAUUUUCCUAAAUAAUUUAUUGUUUUUGCAUAGGUUGUUACAAGAAGAUGUAUUGUCAUACAAUAUGAAGCACUGCUGCCAAUAUGCUGCUGCAUAUCACAAGUUUCAGGGUGGCUGGAAUUUAUCAGUCUGUGCUUCAUUUUCUGAAGUCAAGCAGAGAUGACAGGGACACGUAUCAUUCCGCUGAUGGUUUUGAUGCUGAAAAUGACUGGCAGAAAGAAGCAAAUCAUCCAAAUGGAAUCAAAAUGAAGACUUUAUUCAAGAAAACAGCUGCACAAAAAACUUGGACUUUGCCAUAGUUUGGCUGCUGUACCAAAUAUUUGCAGAUGUACUUCAAUGGAAAACUGUGAAGAAAUCCACUAGUCCUCUUGACCAUAGGCCAAUUUAUAUUAAAAAGCUAUUAGUGUAAAUCUGAAUUGACUACACUAGCCUGUAGGUUUACACCAGAGUUACACCAGGGGAGCUGAGAGCAAAAUUUGGUGCACAGAUACUAACUUGGUCCAUUUCACAUGCUAUGAUGAAGCAUGAUAAAAUUUAUUUUUCAGGCAUCUUGAAGGGUUAAAUUUACAAGAGGCUGCCAUCAAUGCUCAUCUGCAAUCAUUUGCAAUGCACAAUGUUGCACAAGACCAUCCUCUGUGCCAGGAAAUGACAGAACGUAUGUGAGAGAACCCCAUUUAUAGGUUACAGGCAAAUUCUGCUCCUGUUAGAGUGAAUGGCAAAGCUACCAUUCACUUUAACAGUUCAAGACCACCCCCUACAUGUGUAAAUUCCAUCAUUUGCAAGCACAGGAAAAAUAUGAAGAAAAACUGUGCAUGCAACUGACAGCACAUGAAAAUCAGUGUUAUGCACAGAGGUCAGAUUUGGAAAACAUGCCCCCAAAUCUAGAUUUUUAGAGAAACUGAUUCUAUCAUACCCAUAGGAAAAGCCCUAACAUGACCUUUCCUGGUGUACUUAUUAACACAGGACUAAAAGCUAAUUAGCACAUAUUCUUAUAUAAAAAGUGUUUAGUCUUAUCAGUCCUCCUCAUAAAAUGAGCUCUAUGCAUUUGUAUAACAGCUCCUAGGCUGGUAUUGCAAGGAAGGAAGAAGGAGAAAGUUCAAAUUGGCAAAUUUUCCAGGGGCAUAUUGGUGGGCCAGCAGCACCUUCCCAAAGAGUGCCUGGGAUUAAUCAGUACUACCAGCCAUCAGUUUCAUGAGUGAUAAAUCUCACUGCAGAAUUUAAAUGCUGUCAAGAAAACGGAUGAAAAAGACAACCAGCUAUACAUAGCAGAAAGUAUAAAUGGGCUCCCCUUCCUUUCAAAGGGUAGAUCCCAUCUUGUUUUUAUUUAUUUUGGAAAUGAAAUCAUCAUGCAGGAGGUUUUCUCUUAAUUAAAAUUUCCUGUUGUCCCAAAUGCAGAUGUGGGGUGGGUGUGAAAGGAAAUUAGUGAGUAAUCUGUGGUAGGACUCUCUUUCCUUAUGAAUCUGGGCACCAAUCACGGGAUAUAAACUCAGGGAAUUUUUAAACCCAUAAUAAUUAUGCAAUUUUUCUUUUUUCCAGAUAACUAAGGAAAGGGAGGGGGAAAAAGUAUGAACCCCUUGUUUAUACAGAGUAAUCUUAAAAAAACCUAAAAUAAAAAUAACUAACUAUUUGACUCAAUUACCUAGCUGGAUGCAGAAUAACACUAACACAGAAUAAUUUUCUUGAUUUAACAUAAUUUUUGUACUUAAUGGCUUAGGAUAUGAUCCAGAAUUUGCAAACCAGGACCAAUUUUAAAAUAAAUGUGUGUUUUGCCUAAUGUAUAAA